rnacentral:rRNA from 1 species
UACGUAGGGGGCUAGCGUUGUCCGGAAUCAUUGGGCGUAAAGCGCGUGUAGGCGGUCCGGUAAGUCCGCUGUGAAAGUCGGGGGGCUCAACCCUCGAAUGCCGGUGGAUACUGUCGGGCUAGAGUACGGAAGAGGCGAGUGGAAUUCCUGGUGUAGCGGUGAAAUGCGCAGAUAUCAGGAGGAACACCAAUUGCGAAGGCAGCUCGCUGGGACGU